rnacentral:rRNA from 1 species
UGCAGUCGACGAACUCUUCGGAGUUAGUGGCGGACGGGUGAGUAACACGUGGGAACGUGCCUUUAGGUUCGGAAUAACUCAGGGAAACUUGUGCUAAUACCGAAUGUGCCCUUCGGGGGAAAGAUUUAUCGCCUUUAGAGCGGCCCGCGUCUGAUUAGCUAGUUGGUGAGGUAAAGGCUCACCAAGGCGACGAUCAGUAGCUGGUCUGAGAGGAUGAUCAGCCACAUUGGGACUGAGACACGGCCCAAACUCCUACGGGAGGCAGCAGUGGGGAAUCUUGCGCAAUGGGCGAAAGCCUGACGCAGCCAUGCCGCGUGAAUGAUGAAGGUCUUAGGAUUGUAAAAUUCUUUCACCGGGGACGAUAAUGACGGUACCCGGAGAAGAAGCCCCGGCUAACUUCGUGCCAGCAGCCGCGGUAAUACGAAGGGGGCUAGCGUUGCUCGGAAUUACUGGGCGUAAAGGGAGCGUAGGCGGACAUUUAAGUCAGGGGUGAAAUCCCGGGGCUCAACCUCGGAAUUGCCUUUGAUACUGGGUGUCUUGAGUAUGAGAGAGGUGUGUGGAACUCCGAGUGUAGAGGUGAAAUUCGUAGAUAUUCGGAAGAACACCAGUGGCGAAGGCGACACACUGGCUCAUUACUGACGCUGAGGCUCGAAAGCGUGGGGAGCAAACAGGAUUAGAUACCCUGGUAGUC